GAUCCUGGCUCAGGAUGAACGCUAGCUACAGGCUUAACACGUGCAAGUCGAGGGGCAGCAUGACCUAGCAAUAGGUCGAUGGCGACCGGCGCACGGGUGAGUAACACGUAUCCAACCUACCGGUUAUUCCGGGAUAGCCUUUCGAAAGAAAGAUUAAUACCGGAUAGUAUAACGAGAAGGCAUCUUUUUGUUAUUAAAGAAUUUCGAUAACCGAUGGGGAUGCGUUCCAUUAGUUUGUUGGCGGGGUAACGCCCACAAGACA
rnacentral:rRNA from 1 species